UUUACCAGAAGUGGCUAGUCUAACCGUAAGGAGGACGGUCACCACGGUAGGAUUCAUGACUGGGGUGAAGUCGUAACAAGGUAGCCGUAUCGGAAGGUGCGGCUGGAUCACCUCCUUU
rnacentral:rRNA from 1 species